rnacentral:rRNA from 1 species
GAUGAACGCUAGCGGCAGGCCUAACACAUGCAAGUCGAGGGGUAACAUAGGAAAGCUUGCUUCUCUGAUGACGACCGGCGCACGGGUGCGUAACGCGUAUACAACCUACCUUUUAGCGGGGAAUAGCCCAGGGAAACUUGGAUUAAUGCCCCAUAGUAUAUAGACUUCUCCUGAAGUUUAUAUUAAACAUUUAUGGCUAUUAGAUGGGUAUGCGUCCUAUUAGUUAGUUGGUAAGGUAACGGCUUACCAAGGCAGCGAUAGGUAGGGGUCCUGAGAGGGAGAUCCCCACACUGGUACUGAGACACGGACCAGACUCCUACGGGAGGCAGCAGUGAGGAAUAUUGGACAAUGGGCGAGAGCCUGAUCCAGCCAUGCCGCGUGCAGGAAGACUGCCCUAUGGGUUGUAAACUGCUUUUACAGAGGAAGAACCACCCCCACGUGUGGGGGUUUGACGGUACUCUGCGAAUAAGGAUCGGCUAACUCCGUG